CAGCCGCCGCGGGAAAACGUAGGUGGCAAGCGUUGUCCGGAUUUAUUGGGCGUAAAGCGAGCGCAGGCGGUCAAUUAAGUCUGAUGUGAAAGCCCCCGGCUCAACCGGGGAGGGUCAUUGGAAACUGGUUGACUUGAGUGCAGAAGAGGAGAGUGGAAUUCCACGUGUAGCGGUGAAAUUCGUAGAUAUUCGGAAGAACACCAGUGGCGAAGGCGGCUCACUGGCCCGUAACUGACGCUGAGGUGCGAAAGCGUGGGGAGCAAACAGGAUUAGAUACCCGUGUAGUCCCUGUCUCUUAUAC
rnacentral:rRNA from 1 species